AUUGAACGCUGGCGGCAUGCCUUACACAUGCAAGUCGAACGGUAACGCGGGGCAACCUGGCGACGAGUGGCGAACGGGUGAGUAAUGUAUCGGAACGUGCCCAGUUGUGGGGGAUAACUGCUCGAAAGAGCAGCUAAUACCGCCUACGACCUGAGGGUGAAAGCGGGGGAUCGCAAGACCGCUCGCAAUUGGAGCGGCCGAUAUCAGAAUAGGUAGUUGGUGGGGUAAAGGCUCACCAAGCCAACGAUCUGUAGCUGGUCUGAGAGGACGACCAGCCACACUGGGACUGAGACACGGCCCAGACUCAUACGGGAGGCAGCAGUGGGGAAUUUUGGACAAUGGACGCAAGUCUGAUCCAGCCAUGCCGCGUGCGGGAAGAAGGCCUUCGGGUUGUAAACCGCUUUUGUCAGGGAAGAAACGCUCUGGGUUAAUACCUCGGGGUAAUGACGGUACCCGAAGAAUAAGCACCGGCUAACUACGUGCCAGCCGCCGCCGUAAAAC
rnacentral:rRNA from 1 species